UUGUCUCUUCCUUUGCCUCUGAAAUUGAAGUGACCGAGAGAGGGGAGCAGAGUGAGAGCUAGUGGCCGAGAGGGAGAGCAAUGCGUGGGAGAGAGAGGCCGAUGAUGGAAGAUGGAGGCCGGUAGCAGCUGUAGCGGCCUGAAGAAGCCACAGAAUUGGCCAUGGCCAAGGGAGGCAGGGCCACUCGAAGCUUGAGCAGAGCUGGAAGCACACAUGGGGAGCCGAGGUUGCUCACUUAAGGAGGAAGCUGGCAGAUUGAAGGCAGCUCAAAGCAAGAAGAAUCGGCCAUGGCUGCGGCUUGGAGCAGCCGCGAUGGUGGUCAUGGCCGAGCGAACAGCAACAGCAGCACGAGCAGUGUGCGUGCGCGGGUGAGCCAGCUGCGGCGGAGUUGGUCCAGCAAGCACGCGAGCUGGCUUGCGAUGGUGUCGUCGCUGAUUGGGGGAAGCGCGAGGAGGUGCUCGGAAUCGAUGGGGAUGGCCGGAUGUGUGGCCAUGGCAGCCGUAGAGCUGCUGUUGCAGCAGCCGGGAGCGGCCACGGUGGCGCUCAGCGACUGCAAGCGACGUCUUGGGCAGCUGGUGGCGACCGAGGAUGAUGGGGCGAGGCGUCCUUGGCCACGGGUGGCGGCUGGAGAGGCCAGGCUGCAAUGGCAGCCGUGCAAGCGCGCUGUGCGCGCAAGCCCGCGAGGAAGAAGAUGAACAGUGGCACGCAGGAGAAAGAAAAUGAAGAAGAAAGAAAAAAAAAAGAAAAAGAAAAUAAAAAGAAAUGUGGAAAAUCUGGAAAAAUAGGAAAAAUUUCAAAAAAUUUGGGAAAAGUCCUGAAAAUUAAAUCGAGGCUUGAGGAGCGUGUCGGAAGCUCAAAAAUCGAGAUUUCAGGUGCAAGCGGCAGCUCGAGAGCCAACGCCAGUGUGGGCGUCUGAUCGGUUUUCUUCUCCAAAUUAAUCGAGGUUCGACCGGGGAGGCAGUGAUCCUAGAAGAGCUCGGAGUUCGGGCUGGAGUUCGUGCCGAGGUAGAGAUGAGGCUUCGAGCUAGAUGAUUCAAGUCCAGAUGCAAGCAGGGAUGGUGCCGGGAGGCUGUUGUGGCAAUUAGCUAGUUGCCUGAGAUGUGAUGUUGUGUAAUCUCCUGUAAUUUUUAUAUGUGUUCAUGUAAUUGAAUGUAAACGAUAUUGAGCACUAGAUGUAUUUAAUUGUUGAAAUCAUCGUAGUGUGAUAAAUGAUUGUGGGAUUGUUCGUGGUAUAUGGCUUAGUUGGAGAAGCCGAGUUUCGUAUCGAGUAAAGAUCAGCAAGGUAUGUUCUCAUAAAUCCCCAAUACUCAGCGAAGUGUUUGUAUGCUAGCUUUGUGCCUCGGUCACCUUUGGCUUGCUAUAGGGUGAGCUGAAGAGAGGUGAAGCUCACUCGGGUUUCGGGUCUUGGUCCGCUGAGUUUUUCUUAUUUGAGUUGGGACCGAUUCCUGAGUGGAGCGAAGGGAAGGACGAAGCCUAGUUCCCACCUAGGGCGUUUCCUGUUGAAAUAUAGUCCAACCCUUCAGUUGUGGUUUGUCGGGUGAGUAAUCUGGUCGAUUAUUUACUGGUGGCGCCCGUAAGUAGGAGCGGGUCGUUACACAAUGGGUUUUAGGCUCAACUCAAACCCUUCAAUAAUCUACAAGAUAAAUAAAACUUAUCUUUACAUCAUAAUGAAAGUUAUAGCAAUGAAAUGCCUUACCAAUGGUUGCACAAACCUCUAAGAUUGAGGUGAGGAGAGCUAAUGAGAUGAUACGCCUUGUUUUUUAUUUGCUCCUCCGUUAUACACUCAUAGCACCACAAAUGUAUGUAUGGAUCUUCUUUGGAAGCUUAAUCAAAUGUUUUUAUCACCACUUGUGCUUGUGUAUGUGUCUCCAGUGUGUGCUCUCUUGUUGUCUUAUAUUUUUAUCUUUAAACACCUGCUAUUUAUAUCAAGAGAUAGAAAUUUGGCCAUUUAUAGCCAUUAGAGACAAGAUAGAAAAGAAGGUUUUGAAACAUAGCAUACAAGUUUUGAAACAUCACAAAUUUAUACUAAGAUUUUGGAACAUAGACUACAUGUUUCGAAACAUACAGCCUUUCUAGCUGGACUUACACUUAGAGACAACAUUGAGUGGGAGACAAAAUCUUAUGCCCACUAUGAUUAUACACAUGAUCUCCAAUUCAAAUUUGAAUUUGAAUUCUUAAAGCAUGGAGAAAGCAUUAAAUAAAUGAUUGAGAAGCUUUUAGAUAAAUACAAAAAUGCAAACCAAAAGCAUCUUGAUUUUUUACAUGAUCUGCUGAUAGAGGUUUCAAAAUAGAGAAUGAAGAUUUCGAAACAUACUUCAAAAAAAGAUUUCAAAACAUAUGCAUCUUGGAUUUAAAUUCUCUACUGACAGAAUGUCAAAGGUUUCGAAACAUAAGAUGUAGGUUUCGAAACAUAGCAUACAGGUUUCGAAACAUGGUCCAAAACCUGAUUUGAAAACACAUGUAUUACAUAGAUGUUUCGAAAUAGCAUACACACUUAGAAAACAUUGAAACCGUUUCAAAAGGGGUUUUGAAACAUGCACAUAAAUAUGACAGAGUUUCAAAAGGGUUUGCUUAACAACACAAUCCAGAGCAUUACAACAUAUUUACAUUUCUUUAGUUUAAGUAAAUGUCCAUAUUUUCUUUUAUUUAUAUUUUAUCUUCUCUUUACUUUAAUACAUAAAUGUAAAUAAACAAAUAUCCUCUAUUUAGAUUCAAUAAAAAUAUUUAGAAAAUCAAAAUCCAUAAGAAUAAGAAAGUAGAAUUUUGGUUUUAGUACAAACUUAGAAUUUAGCAAUUUUACCACUUUCAAAAUACAUACUUUCUAUUUUUUGAAAAAUUAAUUAAAAAUCAUUUUAUCACCAAUGGAUAUUAGCUAUUGAAAUACCGGAAGAUAGUUUUUCAAAAUGAAAAUAUUUUUAAAAAUAUGUUCUAGUUGGUCUUUUGCCUUAGAAUAAUUUUAACUUCAUUUUAACCAACGAUUUCAAGGCUAAUUUUGAAAAUCACUUUAGGAAAUUCUUUUAAAUCUUAAUACUUGUUUUUGCAAAUCUCCAUAUGUAUAAGAAUUAAAUUAAUUUGGUUUUCAUUUGAAUGCAAUAAUACUUCAUAUUGAAAUUGAUAUAUGUUGAAAACUAUAAUCUUGACUCAUGACUUAGGGACUAAAUCAAUAGAUGUUUUUCAUCAUCAAAACUAAUAUACAAAAGUUAAACAACAGUAUAGUUCAUAGUAAUAGUGCAUAGUGCAUAGUAAAAUCAAUUAUUGACUGCACAGUAGGUUGCAAGGCGACGAAUAUCAAAUAGUUAAAAUGUAUAGUGCAUAAUGAAAUCAAUUAUUGAUUGUACAAUUGAUUACAUAGUAAGAGGCGACGAAUUUCAAUUUUAAUUGAAAUUGAGGAAGAAAGGGGAGGGAAUUGAUAAAGAACAGAGGCAGGGCCUCUACCUUCUUCUCUUGCUCUCCCUAAGUAGCUUUCUCUUCUUCUUCUUCUUCCUUUGCUUCCUCUGAAAAUAUUCUACUACCAUAGAAAUUAUACAUGUAAUUGUUACGUGUAGAAUUUUGAGAUAUGCGCACUGGUGAUACACAGAAUCUCUGUGUCUGGCACGGGAAGAGGUGACCGAAAUGGUACCAUUCGACAUACUAGGUGUGGACAGACUAGAACCACCAUAAUGUGAGCUGGACAUGGUCUUAGUUCAAAAAUUAUUUAUGUACCCCAACUGAUGAGAAUCAUGGAGGGUCGAUUAACAAUGAAACAAUUGGAUCAAUCAAUCCAGUCAACUGUGUCGGAAUUGGAUGAAUAGUAUGUGUUUUUCAAACAGAAAUGAGCCAUUGAGAAGAACUCAUGUGCUA